rnacentral:lncRNA from 1 species
CUGUUCUGGCCGAGAGGCCGAGAGAUGUGUCUGUGAGCAUAGUAGCCAAACUGGAGUUGGCUAGACAAAAAUUACGGAAGACCUACAUAAAAAAGUUUAAGUGGAUAUUAUAUAAACAAUACCGCUGUAAACAUACACCGAACCUAAAAUUCGAAGAUGUAGCUAACGUCGUCGGAGAUUUCGAAGUUCCGUCGCAAUUUAAGAAUCUCAUAAUGAACGGACCCACUGCUGUCCCACAUCGUGCACCGAAUAUAUGCGACAUGGCGCCCUCUAUAGAUCGGCUUCUGACGAUUUUUGAUGAAGUUGAUAGAGAAAAAAUCAGGUGGGAUGUUAUCAAGGCGGCACAACCUGUACGUCACGGAGGUAAUAAUAAACACCCCAGACUCAACGCAUCUAUAGGAAUUGCCAAGGAAUGGAUGAAGGUGAACUCUAUUACG